AGAUGAAGAGCAGGGAGGGGCUCUGUCUGGUGCAGGAGGGUAUCACCAUGGAGGUGCUGAUGAUGGGGGAACCCUUCUUCGACUGUCAGAUUGGCAUCGUGGGCGUCCGGGCGCUCUGCCUGAAAGGCAUCAUGGGAGUGCGGGACUUUGAGGAGAACUUGAACAGACUGGAGGAGGAUGCAGUGUUCUUCAGCUGUGGAGAGAGUCUGAGCAGUAAAGGCAUGACCUACCUGACCAACUCCCUGUUCGACUACCGCUCUCCAGAGAACAACGGGG